GGAGAGAUGGCUGAGUUGGUCGAAGGCGCUCGACUGGAAAUCGAGUAGGCUCUGUUAAGGGGUCUCGAGGGUUCGAAUCCCUCUCUCUCCGCCA
rnacentral:tRNA from 1 species